rnacentral:miRNA from 1 species
UACUAUGCCUGGAAGGCACCA